rnacentral:rRNA from 1 species
UACAGAGGUCCCCAAGCGUUGUUCGGAUUCACUGGGCGUAAAGGGUGCGCAGGUGGGCUGGUAAGUUCGAUGUGAAAAGCCCCGGGCUUAACCCGGGAACUGGCAUUGGAUACUACUGGUCUGGAGGUUUGGAGGGGGGACGUGGAAUUCUUGGUGGUAGCAGUGAAAUGCGUAGAUAUCAAGAGGAACACCAGUGGCGAAGGCGAGUCCCUGGACAACACCUGACACUGAGGC